AAGACCUGUACCUAUAAUUGCAAACGGGCCCUUCGGGGUGACUGUGCACAUUAUAGGGACUGCCUUCGUAAGGAGGAGGAAGGUGCAGGCAACGGUAGGUCUGUAUGCUCCGAAUCUGCUGGGCUACACGCGCGCAACAAUGGUAAGGACAAUGGGAUACAACUCCGAAAGGAGAAGUUAACCCUCUAAACCUUAUCCAAGUCCAGAUUGAGGAUUGUAACUCAUCCUCAUGACGUUGGAAUCCCUAGUAAUCGGAUUUCAUCACAGUCCGGUGAAUAU
rnacentral:rRNA from 1 species